rnacentral:rRNA from 1 species
UACGUAGGUGGCAAGCGUUGUCCGGAUUUAUUGGGUUUAAAGGGGGCGUAGGCGGCCCUGUAAGUCAGUGGUGAAAUACUCCAGCUUAACUGGAGGGGUGCCAUUGAUACUGCAGGGCUUGAGUGGAGUCGAAGUAGGCGGAAUUGACGGUGUAGCGGUGAAAUGCUUAGAUAUCGUCAAGAACACCGAUAGUGAAGACAGCUUACUAGGCUUCUACUGACGCUGAGGCACGAAAGUGUGGGGAUCAAACAGG